rnacentral:rRNA from 1 species
AUUGAACGCUGGCGGCAGGCCUAACACAUGCAAGUCGAACGCAUCGCAAGAUGAGUGGCAGACGGGUGAGUAACGCGUGGGAACAUACCCUUUUCUACGGAAUAGCUCUGGGAAACUGGAAUUAAUACCGUAUACGCCCUACGGGGGAAAGAUUUAUCGGGGAAGGAUUGGCCCGCGUUGGAUUAGCUAGUUGGUGGGGUAAAGGCCUACCAAGGCGACGAUCCAUAGCUGGUCUGAGAGGAUGAUCAGCCACAUUGGGACUGAGACACGGCCCAAACUCCUACGGGAGGCAGCAGCGGGGAAUAUUGGACAAUGGGCGCAAGCCUGAUCCAGCCAUGCCGCGUGAGUGACGAAGGCCUUAGGGUUGUAAAGCUCUUUCACCGAUGAAGAUAAUGACGGUAGUCGGAGAAGAAGCCCCGGCUAACUUCGUGCCAGCCGCCGCAGUAAAAC